ensembl:miRNA
UGAGAGGGGGCAGGGGCGUCUGCGGGCGCAUUGCAGGGCUGUGCACAGCCUCUGCUCCUUCUCAG